CCUCUGAGAGAGGGAUAGCUUYURGAAACGGAUGGRAAUWCCUCAUAACAUAACGAAKCCGCAUGACUUWGUUAUCAAAGAUUUAUCAMUCAGAGAUGGGCUCGCGUCUGAUUAGAUAGUUGGUGAGGUAACGGCCCACCAAGUCGACGAUCAGUAGCCGGACUGAGAGGUUGAACGGCCACAUUGGGACUGAGACACGGCCCAGACUCCUACGGGAGGCAGCAGUGGGGAAUAUUGCACAAUGGGGGAAACCCUGAUGCAGCGAUGCCGCGUGGAGGAAGAAGGUUUUCGGAUUGUAAACUCCUGUCUAAAGGACGAUAAUGACGUACUAGAAGAGGACGUU
rnacentral:rRNA from 1 species